UACGGGGGGGGUAAGCGUUGUUCGGAAUUACUGGGCGUAAAGGGCUCGUAGGCGGCCAACUAAGUCAGACGUGAAAUCCCUCGGCUUAACCGGGGAACUGCGUCUGAUACUGGCGAGCUUGAGUGCAGGAGAGGAACGCGGAAUUCCAGGUGUAGCGGUGAAAUGCGUAGAUAUCUGGAGGAACACCGGUGGCGAAGGCGGCGUUCUGGACUGCAACUGACACUGAGAGACGAAAGCCAGGGGAGCAAACGGG
rnacentral:rRNA from 1 species